UGUUACUUUUCUGUGGUUCACCUUAUUUUGUGACAGUAACCUAUAAGAAGUGAUUUGACUCCACACCAGCUCGUUUCUGUUUCAUUGUUAAGCAGAGAAAAAUAAUGUUUUAAAUGUGAUUGUAUAACUUCCUGAUGCUCUCCUUGUUAGUUUUAUAGUACACUUGUCGGAUCAUCCUGAAGAAGAAACGCAAUCAGUUUCGAAAUAUAGAUGUAAAUGA